CUACGGGAUGCUCCAGUGGGGAAUAUUGCACAAUGGAGGAAACUCUGAUGCAGCAACGCCGCGUGGAGGAUGACACUUUUCGGAGCGUAAACUCCUUUUAUAUAGGAAGAAGAUGACGGUACUAUAUGAAUAAGCGCCGGCUAACUCCGUGCCAGUAGCCGCGGUAAUACGGAGGGCGCAAGCGUUACUCGGAAUCACUGGGCGUAAAGAGCGUGUAGGCGGAUUAAAAAGUCAGAAGUGAAAUCCUAUAGCUUAACUAUAGAACUGCUUCUGAAACUCUUAAUCUAGAAUGUGGGAGAGGUAGAUGGAAUUUCUGGUGUAGGGGUAAAAUCCGUAGAGAUCAGAAGGAAUACCGAUUGCGAAGGCGAUCUACUAGAACAUUAUUGACGCUGAGACGCGAAAGCGUGGGGAGCAAACAGGAUUAGAUACCCCGGUAGUC
rnacentral:rRNA from 1 species